rnacentral:rRNA from 1 species
UACGUAGGGUGCAAGCGUUGUCCGGAAUUAUUGGGCGUAAAGAGCUCGUAGGCGGUUUGUCGCGUCUGCUGUGAAAACGCGAGGCUCAACCUCGCGCCUGCAGUGGGUACGGGCAGACUAGAGUGCGGUAGGGGAGAUUGGAAUUCCUGGUGUAGCGGUGGAAUGCGCAGAUAUCAGGAGGAACACCAAUGGCGAAGGCAGAUCUCUGGGCCGUAACUGACGCUGAGGAGCGAAAGCAUGGGGAGCGAACGGG